GACGAACCGUGCGAACGUUAUUCGGAAUCAUUGGGCUUAAAGCGCGUGUAGGCGGAUUCGUGCGUCUGUCGCUGAAAUCCCCCGGCUCAACCGGGGAAGUGGCGUGGAUACGACGAGUCUGGAGGGGCAUAGGGGGACCUGGAACUUCCGGUGGAGCGGUGAAAUGCGUUGAGAUCGGAAGGAACGCCCGUGGCGAAAGCGGCGCGCUGGACCUCUACUGACGCUGAGGCGCGAAAGCCAGGGGAGCAAACGGGG
rnacentral:rRNA from 1 species